UACAGAGGGGGCAAGCGUUGUUCGGAAUUACUGGGCGUAAAGGGCGCGUAGGCGGCCGCCUAAGUCAGACGUGAAAUCCCUCGGCUCAACCGGGGAACUGCGUCUGAUACUGGGUGGCUUGAAUCCGGGAGAGGGAUGCGGAAUUCCAGGUGUAGCGGUGAAAUGCGUAGAUAUCAGGAAGAACACCCGUGGCGAAAGCGGCUCUCUGGAACGGUACUGACGCUGAGACGCGAAAGCGUGGGGAGCGAACAGG
rnacentral:rRNA from 1 species